GACGAACGCUGGCGGCGUGCCUAAUACAUGCAAGUUGAGCGCUGAAGGUUGGUACUUGUACCAACUGGAUGAGCAGCGAACGGGUGAGUAACGCGUGGGGAAUCUGCCUUUGAGCGGGGGACAACAUUUGGAAACGAAUGCUAAUACCGCAUAAAACCUUUAAACACAAGUUUUAAGUUUGAAAGAUGCAAUUGCAUCACUCAAAGAUGAUCCCGCGUUGUAUUAGCUAGUUGGUGAGGUAAAGGCUCACCAAGGCGAUGAUACAUAGCCGACCUGAGAGGGUGAUCGGCCACAUUGGGACUGAGACACGGCCCAAACUCCUACGGGAGGCAGCAGUAGGGAAUCUUCGGCAAUGGACGAAAGUCUGACCGAGCAACGCCGCGUGAGUGAAGAAGGGUUUCGGAUCGUAAAACUCUGUUGGUAGAGAAGAACGUUGGUGAGAGUGGAAAGCUCAUCAAGUGACGGUAACUACCCAGAAAGGGACGGCUAACUACGUG
rnacentral:rRNA from 1 species